GUGCCCAGUGGUUAGAGCGUACGCCUCAGGUGCGGGAGGUCGUGGGUUCAAUCCCCGGCUGAGUCA